rnacentral:rRNA from 1 species
GAGAAGCUUGCUUCUCUGAUGUUAGCGGCGGACGGGUGAGUAACACGUGGAUAACCUACCUAUAAGACUGGGAUAACUUCGGGAAACCGGAGCUAAUACCGGAUAAUAUUUUGAACCGCAUGGUUCAAAAGUGAAAGACGGUCUUGCUGUCACUUAUAGAUGGAUCCGCGCUGCAUUAGCUAGUUGGUAAGGUAACGGCUUACCAAGGCAACGAUGCAUAGCCGACCUGAGAGGGUGAUCGGCCACACUGGAACUGAGACACGGUCCAGACUCCUACGGGAGGCAGCAGUAGGGAAUCUUCCGCAAUGGGCGAAAGCCUGACGGAGCAACGCCGCGUGAGUGAUGAAGGUCUUCGGAUCGUAAAACUCUGUUAUUAGGGAAGAACAUAUGUGUAAGUAACUGUGCACAUCUUGACGGUACCUAAUCAGAAAGCCACGGCUAACUACGUGCCAGCAGCCGCGGUAAUACGUAGGUGGCAAGCGUUAUCCGGAAUUAUUGGGCGUAAAGCGCGCGUAGGCGGUUUUUUAAGUCUGAUGUGAAAGCCCACGGCUCAACCGUGGAGGGUCAUUGGAAACUGGAAAACUUGAGUGCAGAAGAGGAAAGUGGAAUUCCAUGUGUAGCGGUGAAAUGCGCAGAGAUAUGGAGGAACACCAGUGGCGAAGGCGACUUUCUGGUCUGUAACUGACGCUGAUGUGCGAAAGCGUGGGGAUCAAACAGGAUUAGAUACCCUGGUAGUCCACGCCGUAAACGAUGAGUGCUAAGUGUUAGGGGGUUUCCGCCCCUUAGUGCUGCAGCUAACGCAUUAAGCACUCCGCCUGGGGAGUACGACCGCAAGGUUGAAACUCAAAGGAAUUGACGGGGACCCGCACAAGCGGUGGAGCAUGUGGUUUAAUUCGAAGCAACGCGAAGAACCUUACCAAAUCUUGACAUCCUUUGACAACUCUAGAGAUAGAGCCUUCCCCUUCGGGGGACAAAGUGACAGGUGGUGCAUGGUUGUCGUCAGCUCGUGUCGUGAGAUGUUGGGUUAAGUCCCGCAACGAGCGCAACCCUUAAGCUUAGUUGCCAUCAUUAAGUUGGGCACUCUAAGUUGACUGCCGGUGACAAACCGGAGGAAGGUGGGGAUGACGUCAAAUCAUCAUGCCCCUUAUGAUUUGGGCUACACACGUGCUACAAUGGACAAUACAAAGGGCAGCGAAACC